ACUGUGACUCCCACGUACAUGGAAACCACAGAGCCACUGUAGGCUGCGCCCCUCAGCUCGAGCUCAGCCACCACACGGCAGCCUGAAGUUGCAGUCAGUGACGUCUGAGACCCCCAAGAGCCACAAAUAUGUGGUCACUAGCAAGGAGGGAGCUAUUUUCUCCUCUAAGUUUUAAAUUUAAGCAGGUGUCUGUUUUAGAAAAUUGCACAUUCCCACAAAGAAUUGGCCUCAGGGACCACAGACCACAGACAACAAAGAAAUACUCUGUCAAGAUAACACCUGAGAAGAGCAACUUUAAAUACAGCUUCAGCCAGAUUUGCAGGCCCUGG
rnacentral:lncRNA from 1 species